rnacentral:rRNA from 1 species
GUUCGGAUUGCAGUCUGCAACUCGAGUGCAUGAAGCUGGAAUCGCUAGUAAUCGCGAAUCAGAAUGUCGCGGUGAAUACGUUCCCGGGUCUUGUACACACCGCCCGUCACACCAUGGGAGCCGACAACGCCCGAAGUCAGUGACCUAACCGAGAGGGAGGAGCUGCCGAAGGCGGGGUUGGUAACUGGGGUGAAGUCGUAACAAGGUAGC